GACGAACGCUGGCGGCGUGCUUAACACAUGCAAGUCGAACGGAAAGGCCCUGCUUUUGUGGGGUGCUCGAGUGGCGAACGGGUGAGUAACACGUGAGUAACCUGCCCUUGACUUUGGGAUAACUUCAGGAAACUGGGGCUAAUACCGGAUAGGAGCUCCUGCUGCAUGGUGGGGGUUGGAAAGUUUCGGCGGUUGGGGAUGGACUCGCGGCUUAUCAGCUUGUUGGUGGGGUAGUGGCUUACCAAGGCUUUGACGGGUAGCCGGCCUGAGAGGGUGACCGGCCAACUUGGGACUGAGAUACGGCCCAGACUCCUACGGGAGGCAGCAGGGGGGAAUAUUGCACAAUGGGCGGAAGCCUGAUGCAGCAACGCCGCGUGCGGGAUGACGGCCUUCGGGUUGUAAACCGCUUUCGCCUGUGACGAAGCGUGAGUGACGGUAAUGGGUAAAGAAGCACCGGCUAACUACGUG
rnacentral:rRNA from 1 species